CUUGGGCUCAUAUGAGUUUCUCCUAUUUUUCUGGAACAGACGAAAGCUGAAGAGGAGACUAUCUGAGUAGCUAUACAUAGAGUUUCAUUCCUGGGUGCCAAGGGAGAGUUUUGCUGAGUCUUCAACAUCCCAUAUCAUUUGCCAGGAGGAGAAUUUCGCUGAUGCUACCAGCAGUGCCGCUGAACUCAACAGGAAAAUUUGUGGAACGUGAUCAAGAUCCUUCCCAUCCGAUCAGGAACAGUCCAGUGCAAAACUGCUUCACAUUUAACAAACCUUCUUCCGGCCCCUCUGCAGAGAACUAACAGCAGCAGGAUUCUGUCGAAACAAGAAUCCAGAGGACCAGACUUUGGGAGAAAGUUUGAAGGUGGAUAUUGUAACCAUUUGAGACAAACCUAUUAGCGUAAAGAAGUUCUCU
rnacentral:lncRNA from 1 species